rnacentral:rRNA from 1 species
UACGUAGGGGGCAAGCGUUGUCCGGAAUCAUUGGGCGUAAAGCGCGUGUAGGCGGCCUUGUAAGUCCGUUCUGAAAGUCCGGGGCUCAACCCCGGGAGGCGGAUGGAUACUGCAAGGCUCGAGUACGGAAGAGGCGAGUGGAAUUCCCGGUGUAGCGGUGAAAUGCGCAGAUAUCGGGAGGAACACCAAUGGCGAAGGCAGCUCGCUGGGACGUUACUGACACUAAUGGACGAAAGCUAGGGGAGCGAAUGGG